rnacentral:lncRNA from 1 species
UUAUUUCUUACUCGGUUACAUAUCUAGGAAUUUUUAAUUUCUUAUAAAUUUUAUGUUUUUUAGUUAAUUAUGGUAGCUAUUUUUUUUUCUUUGUAAAAUUUAUGUUUUUUCAGUUAUUUAUGGAUUUUCUAAUAAUUUUUGAUGAGGAAAAUAACUAAAUAUUUUUUUAUAUAGUUACAUAAAUAGUAUACAAAAAGUUUAUAUUUGAUUUCGUAAUUAAUUCGUAUUUGAUUCAACAUUUUGUUGCAUGUAUUAAUUAAAUUAUAAAUAAACUUAGUUUUUUAUUUACAUUCAUUUGGUUUGAAU